UACGUAGGGUGCGAGCGUUGUCCGGAAUUAUUGGCGUAAAGGGCUCGUAGGCGGUUUGUCGCGUCGGGAGUGAAAACGCCGUGCUUAACACGGCGCUUGCUUUCGACUACGGGCAGACUAGAGGUAUGCAGGGGAGAACGGAAUUCCUGGUGUAGCGGUGAAAUGCGCAGAUAUCAGGAGGAACACCGGUGGCGAAGGCGGUUCUCUGGGCAUUACCUGACGCUGAGGAGCGAAAGUGUGGGGAGCGAACAGG
rnacentral:rRNA from 1 species